GACGAACGCUGGCGGCGUGCCUAAUACAUGCAAGUAGAACGCUGAAGCGAGGAGCUUCCUCUUCUUGGAUGAGUUGCGAACGGGUGAGUAACGCGUAGGUAACCUGCCUUGUAGCGGGGGAUAACUAUUGGAAACGAUAGCUAAUACCGCAUAACAAUGGAUGACACAUGUCAUUUAUUUGAAAGGGGCAAUUGCUCCACUACAAGAUGGACCUGCGUUGUAUUAGCUAGUAGGUGAGGUAAUGGCUCACCUAGGCGACGAUACAUAGCCGACCUGAGAGGGUGAUCGGCCACACUGGGACUGAGACACGGCCCAGACUCCUACGGGAGGCAGCAGUAGGGAAUCUUCGGCAAUGGGGGCAACCCUGACCGAGCAACGCCGCGUGAGUGAAGAAGGGUUUCGGAUCGUAAAGCUCUGUUGUAAGUCAAGAACGGGUGUGAGAGUGGAAAGUUCACACUGUGACGGUAGCUGACCAGAAAGGGACGGCUAACUACGUG
rnacentral:rRNA from 1 species